GAGUAGUACUAAUGAAAGUCAAUAAAGGGCAAGUCCUUUGUUACAUAAAGAUUGUCUAAAUAAAACUAAAUUCAAAAUAUGCCCCCAAAAGAGUUAGCAUUAUAGACAACACACAAACAUAAACAUUGGGACUCCUUUUUUGGCACCUUCCUUACCUCCCUAGAUAAAUUAACCCUAUUUUAAUUGAAGUGGAAAGUUCUCAGGUUCCACAUCUUAAAGAAGUGCAUGACC
rnacentral:lncRNA from 1 species